AUGAACGCUGGCGGCGUGCCUAAUACAUGCCAGUCGAGCGAACAGACGAGGAGCUUGCUUCUCUGACGUUAGCGGCGGACGGGUGAGUAACACGUGGAUAACCUACCUAUAAGACUGGGAUAACUUCGGGAAACCGGAGCUAAUACCGGAUAAUAUAUUGAACCGCAUGGUUCAAUAGUGAAAGACGGUUUUGCUGUCACUUAUAGAUGGAUCCGCGCCGCAUUAGCUAGUUGGUAAGGUAACGGCUUACCAAGGCAACGAUGCGUAGCCGACCUGAGAGGGUGAUCGGCCACACUGGAACUGAGACACGGUCCAGACUCCUACGGGAGGCAGCAGUAGGGAAUCUUCCGCAAUGGGCGAAAGCCUGACGGAGCAACGCCGUGUGAGUGAUGAAGGUCUUCGGAUCGUAAAACUCUGUUAUUAGGGAAGAACAAAUGUGUAAGUAACUAUGCACGUCUUGACGGUACCUAAUCAGAAAGCCACGGCUAACUACGUG
rnacentral:rRNA from 1 species